GGUCUGGCCGGGCGGUCCGCCGUUUCGGCGUGUACUGCUCUCGGGCCGGUCCUUUCCUCCUGGGGAACCGGCGUGCCUUUGCGGGUGCGGCGGGGAGCCAGGACUUUUACCUUGAAAAAAUUAGAGUGUUCAAAGCAGGCGCACGCCUGAAUAGAUUAGCAUGGAAUAAUGGAAUAGGAC
rnacentral:rRNA from 1 species